rnacentral:tRNA from 1 species
UUCUAAUGUGGCAGAUAAGUGCAAUGGAUUUAAGCUCCAUACAUGGGGGUAUCCCCCUAUUAGAAA